rnacentral:tRNA from 1 species
GCACAAAUAGCUCAGCGGAUGAGCAAUGAUCUCUUAAAUCAUAGACGUAGGUUCAAAUCCUACUUUGUACACCA